rnacentral:rRNA from 1 species
CUGCCAGUCGACGAGUUCUGAUUAUUGAAGGUGCUUGCAUCUUGAUUUAAUUUUGAACCAGUGGCGGACGGGUGAGUAACACGUGGGUAACCUGCCCUUAAGUGGGGGAUAACAUUUGGAAACAGAUGCUAAUACCGCAUAAAUCCAAGAACCGCAUGGUUCUUGGCUGAAAGAUGGCGUAAGCUAUCGCUUUUGGAUGGACCCGCGGCGUAUUAGCUAGUUGGUGAGGUAACGGCUCACCAAGGCAAUGAUACGUAGCCGAACUGAGAGGUUGAUCGGCCACAUUGGGACUGAGACACGGCCCAAACUCCUACGGGAGGCAGCAGUAGGGAAUCUUCCACAAUGGACGCAAGUCUGAUGGAGCAACGCCGCGUGAGUGAAGAAGGCUUUCGGGUCGUAAAACUCUGUUGUUGGAGAAGAAUGGUCGGCAGAGUAACUGUUGUCGGCGUGACGGUAUCCAACCAGAAAGCCACGGCUAACUACGUGCCAGCAGCCGCGGUAAUACGUAGGUGGCAAGCGUUAUCCGGAUUUAUUGGGCGUAAAGCGAGCGCAGGCGGUUUUUUAAGUCUGAUGUGAAAGCCCUCGGCUUAACCGAGGAAGUGCAUCGGAAACUGGGAAACUUGAGUGCAGAAGAGGACAGUGGAACUCCAUGUGUAGCGGUGAAAUGCGUAGAUAUAUGGAAGAACACCAGUGGCGAAGGCGGCUGUCUGGUCUGUAACUGACGCUGAGGCUCGAAAGCAUGGGUAGCGAACAGGAUUAGAUACCCUGGUAGUCCAUGCCGUAAACGAUGAAUGCUAGGUGUUGGAGGGUUCCGCCUUCAGGCCGCAGCAACGCAUAAGCUCCCSUCYGGUUCCCCCUCCCMUUYYMCUAUUUUAAAGGCGGUGGC